rnacentral:rRNA from 1 species
UGAGGAAUAUUGGUCAAUGGGCGAAAGCCUGAACCAGCCAUGCCGCGUGAAGGAAUAAGGCCCUAUGGGUCGUAAACUUCUUUUGUAUCGGAGCAAUAAGGGCCACGAGUGGUCCGAUGAGAUUACGAUACGAAUAAGCCACGGCUAACUACGUGCCAGCAGCCGCGGUAAUACGUAGGUGGCAAGCGUUGUCCGGAUUUACUGGGUGUAAAGGGCGUGCAGCCGGGAAUGCAAGUCAGAUGUGAAAUCCAUGGGCUUAACCCAUGAACUGCAUUUGAAACUGUAUUUCUUGAGUACUGGAGAGGCAAUCGGAAUUCCUAGUGUAGCGGUGAAAUGCGUAGAUAUUAGGAGGAACACCAGUGGCGAAGGCGGAUUGCUGGACAGCAACUGACGGU